UACGUAGGGGGCAAGCGUUGUCCGGAUUUAUUGGGCGUAAAGAGCGUGUAGGCGGCCAGGUAGGUCUGCUGUGAAAACUCGAGGCUUAACCUCGAGCUGUCGGCGGAAACCAUCUGGCUAGAGUCCGGAAGAGGAGAAUGGAAUUCCCGGUGUAGCGGUGAAAUGCGUAGAUAUCGGGAGAACACCGUGGCGAAGGCGGUCUCCUG
rnacentral:rRNA from 1 species